UGGGGAAUAUUGCGCAAUGGGCGAAAGCCUGACGCAGCAACGCCGCGUGAGUGAUGAAGGCCUUCGGGUCGUAAAGCUCUGUCGGAGGGAACGAAUGCUCCUGAAGUUAACAGCUUCAGGAAGUGACGGUACCCUCAAAGGAAGCACCGGCUAACUCUGUGCCAGCAGCCGCGGUAAUACAGAGGGUGCAAGCGUUGUUCGGAAUUACUGGGCGUAAAGGGUGCGUAGGCGGUUAAAUAAGUUAGAUGUGAAAUCCCCGGGCUUAACCUGGGAAUUGCAUUUAAUACUGUAUGACUAGAGUAGAGUAGAGGGAAGUGGAAUUUCCGGUGUAGCGGUGAAAUGCGUAGAUAUCGGAAAGAACAUCAGUGGCGAAGGCGGCUUCCUGGACUCAUACUGACGCUGAGGCGCGAAAGCGUGGGGAGCAAACAGGAUUAGAUACCCGCGUAGUCCCUGAGCGGGCUGGCAAGGCGCAU
rnacentral:rRNA from 1 species